GCACGGGUAUGGAUUCAUGGCAGGCUUGUUUCCCUGAGCCUCUCAUAGUGUUCCAUGCCAGAGGAAACUGGCCCCGAACCAUUGCCUGGCCUCUGUCUGUAGGCUUCUGGCACUGAAGUGGGUUGCACAUUG